UACGUAGGGUGCGAGCGUUAAUCGGAAUUACUGGGCGUAAAGGCGUGCGCAGGCGGGUUCGUCGUGUCGGCGGUGAAAGCCCCGGGCUUAACCUGGGAAUGGCCGUCGAAACUGGCGAACUGGAGUGUGGCAGAGGGGGGUGGAAUUCCGCGUGUAGCAGUGAAAUGCGUAGAGAUGCGGAGGAACACCGAUGGCGAAGGCAGCCCCCUGGGCUGACACG
rnacentral:rRNA from 1 species